rnacentral:rRNA from 1 species
AUUGAACGCUGGCGGCAGGCCUAACACAUGCAAGUCGAGCGGAUGAAGGGAGCUUGCUCCUGGAUUCAGCGGCGGACGGGUGAGUAAUGCCUAGGAAUCUGCCUGGUAGUGGGGGAUAACGUCCGGAAACGGGCGCUAAUACCGCAUACGUCCUGAGGGAGAAAGUGGGGGAUCUUCGGACCUCACGCUAUCAGAUGAGCCUAGGUCGGAUUAGCUAGUUGGUGGGGUAAAGGCCUACCAAGGCGACGAUCCGUAACUGGUCGGAGAGGAUGAGCAGUCACACUGGAACUGAGACACGGUCCAGACUCCUACGGGAGGCAGCAGUGGGGAAUAUUGGACAAUGGGCGAAAGCCUGAUCCAGCCAAUGCCGCGUGUGUGAAGAAGGUCUUCGGAUUGUAAAGCACUUUAAGUUGGGAGGAAGGGCAGUAAGUUAAUACCUUGCUGUUUUGACGUUACCAACAGAAUAAGCACCGGCUAACUUCGUG